rnacentral:rRNA from 1 species
AAUAGAUACCCGGGUAGUCCACGCCGUAAACGAUGUCAACUAGCCGUUGGAAUCCUUGAGAUUUUAGUGGCGCAGCUAACGCAUUAAGUUGACCGCCUGGGGAGUACGGCCGCAAGGUUAAAACUCAAAUGAAUUGACGGGGGCCCGCACAAGCGGUGGAGCAUGCGGUUUAAUUCGAAGCAACGCGAAGAACCUUACCAGGCCUUGACAUGCAGAGAACUUUCCAGAGAUGGAUUGGUGCCUUCGGGAACUCCGACACAGGUGCUGCAUGGCUGUCGUCAGCUCGUGUCGUGAGAUGUUGGGUUAAGUCCCGUAACGAGCGCAACCCUUGUCCUUAGUUACCAGCACGUUAUGGUGGGCACUCUAAGGAGACUGCCGGUGACAAACCGGAGGAAGGUGGGAUGACGUCAAGUCAUCAUGGCCCUUACGGCCUGGGCUACACACGUGCUACAAUGGUCGGUACAGAGGGUUGCCAAGCCGCGAGGUGGAGCUAAUCUCACAAAACCGNUCGUAGUCCGGAUCGCAGU